rnacentral:lncRNA from 1 species
UUAUUAAUCUAACUUAAUAAUUAACUAAAUAUUAAAGAGUCGCUGAUAUGAAAGUAAUGAGACAUUAGUUAUUAUCGCAUCAUCAAUCACACAUCACGUUCGUAUUUUCGAAGUAUCGUUAUUUAGUCAACUAAAUAAGGUUGUAGCACUUAAUUACAGUAAUUUAGAAAGCCCAAAUCAUGAUUUACAAUAAAAUUACAGUUAAAAAACUAAAAUAUCACGCAAUUCAUAGUUUGAGGACCAAGUGUGUUAUUUAGCCCUUUCUCUAGGCUUUAUUUAGCUUGUUGAGAGAAUACAUUAUGUGUGAAUUUUGUGAUAAAAAAAUAUUUUAUUUAUUUUUUAUACAAUAUGUACGUAAUAUUGAAUUUUACGUAUUAUAAUUAGUCUGUUAUGGUAUUCUUUUAUAUAUUUUUUGCUCACCUCUAUUUUGCCGGUGAGAGGCGCAGAGUUACGUAGGAUAGAAAAAUAUGUAGGAAUAUUAUGUGUGUUUUGGUGUAAAUAAAUUUUAUUUUCUAGUAAAAAAUUGUCCACAUAAAAGAUUGU